rnacentral:rRNA from 1 species
CAGCCAUAUGGCGCGGGUGAGAGCUUGGGGUACACCGAGGAGUUCCGCCUCAACCCGAUGUGCUUGCGGGAUAAGGAUCUCUGGCUUAUGUGGUGCCCAUUGAUAUGCAACUGGGCAGUUGAGUUUCAUUUGCCGCAUCGCGUGUAUCGUAUGUUUGAUAUUUUCCAGCCUCACUCGCCGGAUUGGGUGGACACGGACAAAGCACUUCAUAGGUUGGACAGGAGAAGGCAGCGGAAGAUAAAGGACUGGGACAAGCAUCAUGCUCCGUAUGUUACCCGCUUCCACCUUUCUGUGGAGCAAGCUCGUAGCACUGCACGUGCCCAGCUUCGUGAGCAUAACCCAGUUGCUUUUGAUAACUACAUACGAUGGCUUCUUGAAAAUACUCGAGUUGAGAUAUGCCCGCCGGCAUAUAAUGAGGAUAUUCUUGAAGAACUCGUAAACUUUGAGGAUCUAUCAAAGGGGAAGUACAACAGAGAUGUCAGGUUAGGGCAAGGAGUCCUUGCUGUUCCGGUGAUUAACUAUGUGCGCACCGAGAUCAAGAAAGCAGCUGAUGAGAGCCAGUCUAUUCUCGAGAACACACCGGUUGGAAAAGGCAAUGAUGAUGGUUCACUACGAGCAUUCCUCAAGCGUCAGGCCAGGAAGGUAAGGUGGUUAUCGAAUCUUCUCGGUUGCCGUGAUCCCGAAUUUGAUGAACCAUCUGCCUCUAGGUCUGGUACACCAUUAGACCCCUCAUCUCACCAUCAGGGGGACGAUGUGAGUUCCUCGUAUGCUUAUCGGGAUGAUGAGGGU